GUCCACGCCGUAAACGAUGAGUACUGGGUGUCGCGGGUAGUUGACCCCUGCGGUGCCGUAGCUAACGCGUUAAGUACUCCGCCUGGGGAUUACGGUCGCAAGAUUAAAACUCAAAGGAAUUGACGGGGGCCCGCACAAGCGGUGGAGCAUGUGGUUUAAUUCGACGCAACGCGAAGAACCUUACCUGGGCUAGACAACGGUGGACCGCCCUAGAGAUAGGGCUUUCCCUUCGGGGACUGCCGGUUCAGGUGCUGCAUGGCUGUCGU
rnacentral:rRNA from 1 species